AAAACUUGUUGUCAUGGCAAAUGAACUUGUCAAUGCACAAUAUAGUUUGUUUAUCUGAAAACGAUCCCACUGACAACAGCCAGAUGGCCUCUAAAGACGUUUAAUUAAAGGCCACCUCAUGAACGCAAUCAACGUUUCAAGUUACCGUUCAACAUCUUCAAAAUGCGCAAGAAAUGAAGUCACAGCUGACGAUCUGGAAAACACGAAGCCGUUUCAAUAGGACAGACGUGACGAUAUGGAAACAAAGUCAAUUGCAACUUCCGCUUCAUGGUGACUUUUAAAAUCACGAUGCCCAAGACACGUCACGUCUGCGUUCACGUUGAAAAACUUGUGGAGGCCAAUACACUUUGAUCAUACGUCAUGGGGGAUGUGGGAGGAUUGUAUGUGUGGCACCUUUCUCAAACUUCGGAGUUUGCAGGUGUG